GACGAACCGUGCGAACGUUGUUCGGAAUCACUGGGCUUAAAGGGCGCGUAGGCGGGCUGUCAAGUCUGGGGUGAAAUCCCACGGCUCAACCCGUGGAAGCUGCCUCGGAUACUGACGGCCUCGAGGGGGGUAGGGGCGUGCGGAACGUGUGGGUGGAGCGGUGAAAUGCGUUGAUAUCCACAGGAACUCCGGUGGCGAAGGCGG
rnacentral:rRNA from 1 species